rnacentral:rRNA from 1 species
CCUACGGGAGGCAGCAGUGAGGAAUAUUGGUCAAUGGACGAGAGUCUGAACCAGCCAAGUAGCGUGAAGGAUGACUGCCCUAUGGGUUGUAAACUUCUUUUAUAUGGGAAUAAAAUGUUCCACGUGUGGGAUUUUGUAUGUACCAUAUGAAUAAGGAUCGGCUAACUCCGUGCCAGCAGCCGCGGUAAUACGGAGGAUCCGAGCGUUAUCCGGAUUUAUUGGGUUUAAAGGGAGCGUAGGUGGAUUGUUAAGUCAGUUGUGAAAGUGUGCGGCUCAACCGUAAAAUUGCAGUUGAAACUGGCAGUCGUGAGUACAGUAGAGGUGGGCGGAAUUCGUGGUGUAGCGGUGAAAUGCUUAGAUAUCACGAAGAACUCCGAUUGCGAAGGCAGCUCACUGGACUGCAACUGACACUGAGGCUCGAAAGUGUGGGUAUCAAACAGGAUUAGAUACCCCAGUAGUC